rnacentral:rRNA from 1 species
GACGAACGCUGGCGGCGUGCUUAACACAUGCAAGUCGAACGGUAAGGCCCUUCGGGGUACACGAGUGGCGAACGGGUGAGUAACACGUGGGUGAUCUGCCCUGCACUUCGGGAUAAGCCUGGGAAACUGGGUCUAAUACCGGAUAGGACCACUGCCUGCAUGGGUGGUGGUGGAAAGCUUUUGCGGUGUGGGAUGGGCCCGCGGCCUAUCAGCUUGUUGGUGGGGUGAUGGCCUACCAAGGCGACGACGGGUAGCCGGCCUGAGAGGGUGACCGACCACACUGGGACUGAGAUACGGCCCAGGCUCCGACGGGAGGCAGCAGUGGGGAAUAUUGCACAAUGGGCGCAAGCCUGAUGCAGCGACGCCGCGUGAGGAAUGACGGCCUUCGGGUUGUAAACCUCUUUCAGCACCGACGAAGCGCAAGUGACGGUAGGUGCAGAAGAAGGACCGGCCAACUACGUGCCAGCCGCCGCAGUAA